rnacentral:tRNA from 1 species
GUGCAUGUGCCUGAGUGGUCGAAAGGAGCGGUCCGCAAAACCGUUGGAGCAAUCCCUCGCGAGUUCGAAUCUCGCCAUGUACUCA